rnacentral:rRNA from 1 species
UACAGAGGUGGCAAGCGUUGUUCGGAAUUACUGGGCGUAAAGGGCGCGUAGGCGGCCUUCUAAGUCAGACGUGAAAUCCCCCGGCUUAACCUGGGAACUGCGUCUGAUACUGGAGGGCUUGAGUGCGGGAGAGGGAUGUGGAAUUCCAGGUGUAGCGGUGAAAUGCGUAGAUAUCCGGAGGAACACCGGUGGCGAAGGCGGCUUCCUGGACCGACACUGACGCUGAGGCGCGAAAGCUAGGGGAGCAAACGGG